UUCUAAACUUGAACCUGAAGUCCAGGAUCACGAAGAUGAUGAUUACAGGAUCGUCUACUUUGGAGAGUCUUAUGGCCAUUUGCACCUUAUACAAGUGAAUCGCCAGAACUUAGCUUUGUACAACAUCUACGAGAUGAAACAUGAUGGUGCAGGUUGGUUCUUGAAGUACGAGAUGAAUGUUGAAGACGUUGUGUUGGCAUUCCCUCAUAUGAUUCGAG
rnacentral:misc_RNA from 1 species